rnacentral:rRNA from 1 species
GUGCCAGCAGCGCGGUAAUACGUAGGUGGCGAGCGUUGUCCGGAUUUACUGGGCGUAAAGGGCUUGUAGGCGGUCCGUUAAGUCCGAUGUGAAAUCUCCCGGCUCAACUGGGAGAGGUCAUUGGAUACUGGCGGACUCGAGGGGGGUAGAGGAAAGCAGAAUUCCUGGUGUAGCGGUGAAAUGCGUAGAUAUCAGGAGGAAUCCCAGUGGCGAAGGCGGCUUUCUGGGCCUAACCUGACGCUGAGGAGCGAAAGCGUGGGGAGCAAACCGGAUUAGAUACCCGGGUAGUCCACGCCCUAAACGGUGGAUGCUAGGUGUGGGGGGUGUCGACCCCCUCCGUGCCGCAGCUAACGCUUUAAGCAUCCCGCCUGGGGAGUACGGCCGCAAGGUUAAAACUCAAAUGAAUUGACGG